GAUGAAGAACGCAGCGAAAUGCGAUAAGUAAUGUGAAUUGCAGAAUUCAGUGAAUCAUCGAAUCUUUGAACGCACCUUGCGCUCUUUGGUAUUCCGAAGAGCAUGCCUGUUUGAGUGUCGUGAAAAUAUCAACCUUGACUUGGGUUUUGUGCUCUAGUCUCGGCUUGGAAUUGGGUGCUUGCCGCUUUUACGAGCGGCUCACCUUAAAUGUAUUAGCUGGAUCUGUCUUUGAGACUUGGUUUGACUUGGCGUAAUAAGUAUUUCGCUAAGGACAUUCUUCGGAGUGGCCUCGUUUCUAGGACGCUUGUCCGCUUUCCAAUACAAGUUCCACCUCGUGGACAUGACUUUUUAUUAUCUGGCCUCAAAUCAGGUAGGACUACCCGCUGAACUUAAGCAUAUCAAUAAGCGGAGGA
rnacentral:misc_RNA from 1 species